rnacentral:pre_miRNA from 1 species
UACAUACUCCCUCCGUCCCAAAAUAAGUGACUCAACUUUGUACUAACUUUAGUACAAAGUUGAGUCACUUAUUUUGGGACGGAGGGAGUACAAU